GGAAGGAUCAUUACCGAACAAACAAUAAAAGGCUCACCAGCUCCGCCUCGGCGGCAGUCGGUGAUUCCGAGAUGCUGGCGCAACUUGAACUCAUGGUUGCCGACCGGCAAAAGCAACGCGUCUUCCCUGCCUUUAACCGGGUAGGGGAGCACCGUUGAGGCUUCGGCCACCAAUUUUGUAACAAGGCUUCGGCCACCAAUUUUGUAACCAAGCAAUAAAAUGAAAAUAAAGACGAAUGUAAACCUCGAGUGGUGGAUCACUCGGCUCGUGGGUCGAUGAAGAACGCAGCUAACUGCGUGCAGAAGUGUGAACUGCAGGACACAUGAACAUUGAUAUUUUGAACGCACAUGGCGGCCUGAAAUAAAUUUCAGGCCAUGUCUGGCUGAGGGUCGGAAACUUGACUGAACCAAAGUACGCUCAAGUGCCAGGUCUUUUAGGACCUGGUCGGGAAUUGCAUCUCAGGCACUAGUCUGACCGGUUGUGAUCCGAAGCAUGAAAUUUUCAGCUGUUGGACCAGCCGCAGGCGUUCGAAGUGUUUUGGUGCAAGAGCUUGAAAACUCUUAGUUGCGACCUCAGAGCAGGCAAGAUUACCCGCUAAAUUUAAGCAUAUUAAUAAGCGGAGGAAAAGAAACUAACAAGGAUUUCCUUAGUAACGGCGAGCGAAAAGGAAUGAGUCCAGCGCUGAAUCUGGCAUCCUCCGGGUGUCAUGAAAUGUGGCGUUUGGGACGAAACUUUCCCUGUGUUUUAUGGUUAUCCAAGUCCCUCUUGAACGGGGCCAUCGCCCAUAGAGGGUGCCAGGCCCGUACGAUAACAUUUGUACGCAGUGAGUUUUGUCCGUAGAGUCGGGUUGCUUGGGAGUGCAGCCCAAAUCAGGUGGUAAACUCCAUCUAAGACUAAAUAUGACCACGAGACCGAUAGCGAACAAGUACCGUGAGGGAAAGUUGAAAAGAACUUUGAAGAGAGAGUUAAAUAGUACGUGAAACCUCUCGGGGGUAAGCGGGCAGAACUUGCAAGUAUUGGUGGGAGACUCAAGCUCGGAGACGAUUGCUGUGGGGACAUGGCUAGGUUGAGCUUCGGCGAGACCGACUUGUUCUUGCGGAUUGUUGUCGACGCGCAGCAUUUCUCCUUGCCAUUCGGGCUACGUGCAACUAAGCUGGCAUUUUAGGUGCCGGAUGUCUGCAAAAGCACUUGUGUUUUUGAGCUCUGGUCUCCGAAUGCUGCUGUGGUUGUUGUUGAACGCGAGCAGGCGUUUGCCGCGGUCAGUUCCUUGGACGAGUCGGGUACGCGUGAUGUGUGGACGGUUUCGUAGCAUGUUGCGCGUACUAAUUGUCGGUUCGAGGUAUUCUGGCUCUGCUCAUUGAUCGUAGCCUAAAACCUGUGUGGUCUGCCUGUCCCGUCUUGAAACACGGACCAAGGAGUCUAACAUGUGCGCGAGUCAUUGGGAAAUGAAACUCAAAGGCGUAAUGAAAGUGAAGAUUCGUGUAUACGAAUUGAGGAGAGAUCAAGGCAUGACUUGAAAUACUGAAAAGUUUAGCGAGUUGUAUGUAUGCGCAUCUCCUGGACGUCUAUACCUUCGAAGGUGGGACGUACCUAGAGCGUACACGUUGGGACCCGAAAGAUGGUGAACUAUGCCUGGUCAGAACGAAGCCAGGGGAAACCCUGGUGGAGGUUCGUAGCGAUUCUGACGUGCAAAUCGAUCGUCGGAACUGGGUAUAGGGGCGAAAGACUAAUCGAACCAUCUAGUAGCUGGUUCCUUC
rnacentral:misc_RNA from 1 species